UUGUUUGAUUGUAUGUGAGGAUACAAUUGUAAGUCCGUGUAAUUUGGCAUUUGUAUUCCUAUGAUCAUAUGUUGGAGGUUAGAGUAAGCCCAGAUAAAUUGGCAUCUGACAUCCAAGUGAUUGCUUUGUUGUUGGAGAUUGGUAUAAGCCCAGUGAUUGGCAUCCGGUAUCCACUUUCAUUUUCUUUGUUUGAGGAGAUUAGUAUAAGUCCAUAGAGUGGCCUCUGAUAUCCAGUUCUGUUUUAGGAGAU
rnacentral:lncRNA from 1 species